CUAUUCAACUCUCAAAGUACACUGCCAGCUGUUGCUGACAAGCUAAAAGUGAAAUAUUCACCUUCUCCAUGCGCAACCCAGACCCCUAGUACGGAGCCUUCCAUCCCCUUGAGCAUGAGAGCCGGAGAUGACUCAAUCUUCACUGUGCUGAAACGGCACUCGAAACGUCCGGACUUGUUGUGUAGAAGCUGGGUUCCGGGUUCAACUGAUCCAGACGCUGGCAUAAAGCAGAAGGUUGUUAGUGGCUAUUUUGUAAUAAAAGAUAAGAAAAUGGAUGAAAAUAUGCAAAAUGCUCAAGGUCUUACAAGAAAUGUACGGGGCCACCCAGCCCAACAAUGCCAUGAGUUGACAACCGUUACAGAUUCCCAAACUGAAUGUGAGAGGGUUGCUCUUGAAAGCAGCCAGCUGUGCAGCCAGCUUCUGGUGGAACAUAAGACUCGCAGCCC